rnacentral:lncRNA from 1 species
GUCAGGUUGAAGUUGCAGGCGUGGGCCGCGGCGCUCCAGCGCAGCCAGGCGCUCCGCGCGGCCACGCGGCGCUCCGUCAGAUUGGCGCUGCAGCCCGCAGCCUCCCCGCGCGCGGCCUCGCUGAGCGCCAGCACCGUGCACAGGGCGAGUCCCGCUCCAUAGCUCAGCAUCGCCACCCGCUUUUAUCCGCGGAACCCCUCGUGGGGAGGGGGGAGGAUGAAGAAGGCGAGCGGCCCGCGGACCCUGG